rnacentral:sRNA from 1 species
AAUGAAUAAAUUGCUCAUGGAGGAGAACGAUAGGUUGCAGAAACAAGUGUCUCAACUGGUGUAUGAAAAUGGUUAUUUUCGUCAACACACUCAAAAUACUACACAGGGAACCAAAGACACAAGUUGUGAAUCAGCGGUGACGAGUGGUCAGCAUAGUUUAACAUCUGUGUAAUUGGUUUUAUUCUUAACUG